AAGCAUAAACCCUAAUAAUUCUAUAACUAAGUUGUACAUGAUUCAAUGAGUAUAAAAUUUUUACUACAGUUUGAUUAGGGUAUAAUAAAAAUUUUACCACAAUUGGUCCAUAGAAACUACAGUUAUGAAUUUUUUUAAUUAAUUAUAGAAAAUAAUAUAUCAAAAUCUAUAGCAAAAAUGUUAUGCUAAAGCAUAUCAUUCAUUGUGUAGAUCUAUUCAUGUGGAUUCCAACAAAUUUAGACUUUCUAUUUUAUAAUUUUUCUAUUAUUUACUAUGAUUUUUCAAAGGUUUAGCCAAAAUAGAUAAAAAAAAGAAAAAGAUAAAACCGCUUUCAAAAAUCACUUAUAACUGGGCCAAGGCCUUGUUUAGAUACACCCAAAAACCCAAAACUUUACAAGAUUCUCCGUCACAUCGAAUCUUACGGCACAUGCAUGAAGUAUUAAAUAUAAAUAAAAAUAAUAACUAAUUGCACAGUUUAACUGUAAAUCACGAGACGAAUCUUUUAAGACUAGUUACUCCAUAAUUAGACAAUAUUUAUCAAAUAAAAACGAAAAUGCCACAGUGUCAAAAUCCAAAAAUCUUUUGUAUCUAAACAAGGCCCAAGAAGGUAAAAUACACAGUUUUAAAAAUUGAUGGAGGUGGUUGUCCAAUUUUUGAGUUCACAGAGAAAAACGGACUUUCGCAAAUGUUGAGAGAGAAAAAAUGCACUUUUUUCCCCACUUGGCAGAGCGGGCUGACUAUCGUAAAAAAAAAAAGGCCUCCUCGAAGCAGCCCAGCAGGACGACGAAAGUCGUGCGGAACAGGCGGUGGGCCGAUUCGUCGGCACCACAAAAGUACUAGUGAGGAAGGAAACCCCAUCUCCUAAUCUCCAACACACAGCGAAGGCCGAUGC
rnacentral:lncRNA from 1 species